rnacentral:rRNA from 1 species
CUACGGGGGGCAGCAGUGGGGAAUAUUGCGCAAUGGGCGAAAGCCUGACGCAGCGACGCCGCGUGGAGGAUGACGGUUUUCGGAUUGUAAACUCCUGUUAAGCGGGAAGAAAGGCUCACUCUUAAUACGGGUGAGAUAUGACGGUACCGCUAGAGAAAGCACCGGCUAACUUCGUGCCAGCAGCCGCGGUAAUACGAGGGGUGCAAGCGUUAUUCGGAAUCAUUGGGCGUAAAGGGUGCGUAGGCGGCACAUUAAGUCGGCUGUUAAAUUUCCUGGCCUAACCGGGAGUCAGCGGCCGAUACUGUUGUGCUUGAGGGUGGAAGAGAGAAGUGGAAUUCUCGGAGUAGCGGUAAAACGCGUAGAUCUCGAGAGGAACACCGAUGGCGAAGGCAGCUUCUUGGUCCAUUCCUGACGCUGAGGCACGAAAGCGUGGGUAGCAAACAGGAUUAGAUACCCGAGUAGUC